GCUGGGUUUAGUCUGAAACCCACACUUUUCUCCUAGAUCGUGUUUCCUGAGAAGCAAAUUUUGAGAUGGUUUUGAGUGAUGGAUGUCUACUUAAGAGUGCUCCUGGGAAUAACAUCUAUAAAAUCCUGGUGGAGGCAGAGAGGAGGAGACUUUGGACUGGGAGGGAGUUAAUAUACAAGUUUCCACUGAUCCUGUGAGACUGGAAUGACCCCUCAAAUUUGUCUCAAUUUGAGGCAACUUGGUCAAGCAUUAGUAUCCUACAAUUGAUAGGUUAUUGGGUGCCCAGAGAGAGAGAGAGAGAGAGAGUGAGAGCAAGAAUGAGAGUGAGACUGAAUAUGAGAUAACGAGAGAUGUAGAUAUACCUCAGGAUAUAAAAUUUAUUCAUUUUUUGUGUGAAGUGUAAGAUUUGCAUCUAGUAUCUUUAUUUUGCAUAAGGACAUCCCAUUGUUCCAUCACCAUUUGUUGAAAAGGUAUCUGUCCUCUGAAUUACCACUAUACUUUGUCAAAAAUCAGUUGACUAUAUUUGUGUGGGCCCAUUUUUGGAUGCUAUAUUUUAUCUUUGAAGAUAAUCUUUCCAAAUUUCAGGUGGUUUCUUUAUAAUAAUAAUGAGGCAUAAUUAUGUACACAUUAAAAAAAGACAGAGUUAUUGGAUACAUAACAGAUAACAGGAGUAAGUAAAUCAUAUUAAGAUGACAUAGAUUUUGAAUCAGACAGAAUUGAAUUUGCAACUUGCAUUGCUGAUUAUAUGUAUAUAAUAUUGUCAAUUUAUUUAAAGCCUUAAUUUCUAUAACUGUAAAGUGAACAUGAUAAAUACUGACUUGGUAAGGCUAUAUUAAGUUAUCUAAAUUAUGUAGGUAUCUAUAAUAAAAUUUCUCAGAUGACUCAGGUGUCCAUGACUGAGUAGCUCUUUCAAAUAUUUAUGUGUGUGUUUUAAAUUUUAUCAUAAUAAAAAUAAAUACAUCACAGCAUAUUUUGGAUCAGCAAGAUGAACUCUUUACAACCAAAUAUGAACACCUGAAUCUUGAAUUCAUUGCAUUUUAUGUUUCAAGAAAAUUCUAAUAUACCAUAAAAAAUAGUGUAAAUGAAAGUUCACAUAUAGAAAAAAGGUAGCAUUUUGACAGGCGAGAUUGUUCAAAGUAAGGUAGGUAAGUUAUAAACAAAAUAUAAGAAAAACAUUUAACAUCAUAAUCUAUAAAAUACCAACAUUUCAGCGAAGUAUACCAGCGUGUGGUUUUAUUACCAAGUUAAACAAUUUUAUAGUAAUACUAAGUAGAAAACAUUUGCAUGUGUGUGUAUUAAAAUAAUUCACAUAUACAAUUUUAUUUUACGGGGAUUUAGCUAAAUGUAGUAGUAGUAUUAGUGGUUAAAAUAAGUGCAUUGUUUAAAAGAGCAGUAAUUUUAAAAUAUAAAAAUAUCAAAUAAUAUUUAUAGUUUCAAUAUUUGUAUAUAUUUAUGCAUAUAUACAUAUACAGAUAUAAGGCAUUUUACUCCAAACAAAAAGAAUAAAUAAUUAAAAAUGAAAUGAAAUGCUACACUUAAUAUAGUUUUAUUUAAAUGAUGGUUUAUACAUAAAAUAAAUGUCUUUAAUUUGAUUUAUAUUGGUUUUUAAUGUUCUUUGUGUUAACUAAUGUUAUUUUGGUUGUAUUAGUGAGAUAAGACUGUAAGAAUAAGAAUUUUAUUUUUGAACUUAAUUUACAGUUAUAUAUAUGUAAAUAAUAUUGUGCUCUAAACAUUCUUAGUCAAAAAGUUUCUAAAUUUAAGUUAAACUCAAUAAUAAUUUUAAACAAACACAGAAAUAAUGCAGAAUAAAGUUUUAUCUUUAUAGCACCAACAGUUUAGAAAACAAAUUUAAUUGAUGAACUUAAUUUUGGGGGAUUUGUUUUUGGUUGAUUGGGUAAGAUUAUUCUACAUUUCUGUAGCUUAGCACUUAAAAAAAUCUAGGCUUCCAGAAACACACAUAAAACAAAAAAUCCCACAGAAAAUAAAAAUAAAAACCAAACUCCAAUAGGAAUCAUAUUUCUUAUCUUUUUAAGAGGAAAAAAGGUAUAAACAUAUUGCAAUUACCUUAUUCUCUAAACAGCAAAGGGCGAAACUCAUUUAAUAACACAACAGAUAAAAAUGUUUACUUCAUAUCAUAUUUUUAACAGAGGAGAGAACAGGAAUGUAAGUUUAAGGAAGAAACACAAAGAUGGGUAUAGAAAGAUAUCCUGAAAGAGAAAAGGAGUAAGACACAUCAGUGACAGAAAAAAAAGGACACCAAGCAAGACAUUGUUCAAAACAAUAGAAUAGGAAGCAUGUAAAGUGAAAGACAUAUGGAAGAAGGAAGCUGAGGAUGGAAUAGGGAGAGAAAAAGAGUCAUCAUCAUUCACUCAUAAAUCUAAACAAUCGCUCAUGUAAGAAGUACUUAUUGAGCUUGCUAGCAUGUGCCGUGCUCUGUGACAGAUGCCAGGCCUGUGCUAGUGAAUAAAAUGAACAUGAUGCUUACAAUCUAGUAAAAGAUCAAGAUCAUAAUCCAUUUUUAAAAAGCAAGUAGGCUUUAACAUAUAAUAAAUAUUCAUAGUACAAAAUCACACUGUCACACUAUAAAAGAGAAAAGUGGGGAAACAUGUGUUGUGUCUUAACUCCUAGUUUACAAAGAUACACAUUGGUAAAAACGAUUCAUAAUUUUUAACUAUUUUUAGUGUUUGUCAGAAAAAAGUAUUCCUGUGUUAAUUGGAAGUAAACAAGACUAUCAUAUGCUAAUAUCCCCCUUGAAUUUCUUUCUAAAACAUUCGCUACUUCAGAAACAGAGAAUUUCAACAUCAAACAUAAACAUGCUUAUUUUUAUUUUAAAAUGUUCAAAUCCACAGUUAAAUUACAAUAAUGUUUUUCAAUAAAAUUUAUAGUGUUUAGUCAAGUAAAAUAUGCUUAGAUUUUAGACUAAUUGUCUUAGUCCAUUUGAGCUGCUAUAACAAAAUCCCUUAGAAUUAGUAAUUUAUAAAAAACAGAAAUGUAUUUCUCAUAGUUCUGGAGACCAGGAAGUCCAAGAUCAAGGUGCCAACAGAUUUGAUAUCUGGUGAGGGUCCUUCGGAGCCAGCAAAUAGCUGUACAAUGGCCUUUAAAUCACAUGUAAUAUUCUGGAAAAAACAAAAUUAAGUAUUAAUAGUUUGAUUUUGAUUUAAUUUUUACACUUGGAGAAAAAUGGCUUAAAGUUUAUUAAAAGAUGUAUUAUUUUUGUUUCAUAUCCUUAGGAUAUGUCCUGUGUUUAGAGUACAAUUUUAGAAAGUGAAAAUUGAAUGACCUUAGUGAUUAGGUUCUUCAUCAAUUGAGGUGAUUAUAGCAUAAGUAACCAUAAUAUUAACAAUUCUGAUAGAUCUAUGCAUUUUUAUUUGCUUGAUUUUCAUGUACUAUUUUCAAAUCACAGAUCGACAUCACAGAUGUUCUAAUUUCUUUCUGGGUGUAUCAGUGAGAAAAAUGCUGAUUAGUUUUAGGGUUCAUCAGUCUUUUUUUUUUUUUGACCUCCUUUUUAUUGUAGCAAUAUUCACAAAAGCCAAAAGGCUGAAACAAUCCAGAUGUUUCUUGACUGAUGAACACAUCAAAAAAUUUGACAUGUACGUACAAUGAAAUAUUAUUCACCCUUAAAAGAAGUCUUGUCACAUUUUAAGAUAAACUUUGAGAAUAUUAUGUCAAUGGAAAUAAGCCAGUAACAAAAUGAUGGAUACAAUAUAAUUCUACUUAUGUGAGAUGUCUUAAGUAGUCACACACAUAGAAACAGAAAGUGGGAGGAAGGUGUUUGCAAGCGUUGAAGAGAGAGUAAAAUGGGCUGUUGUCACUUAAGGGUAUUGAGUUUUAGUUUUACAAGAUGUAAAAUUUCUAGAGGUCUUUUGCAUAAUAAUGUGAAUAUACUUAACAUGCCUGAGAUAUACAAUUGUUUUUGAGACAGGGUUUCACUUUGUCACCCAGGCUGGAAUGCAGUGGCACAAUCACAGCUCACUGCAGCCUCAAACUUUCAAGCUCAAGUGAUUCUUUUUUCUCAGUCUCCCAAGUAGCUGGGACCACAUGUGCACACCACCAUGCCUGGCUAUUUUAAAAAAAUUUUGGCUG
rnacentral:lncRNA from 1 species